AGGUGGGCUGGGAGGGAAAGAGUAAGCUGGCUACGCUGGCUACUAAGGAGGAUGAAGUGUGGAGGCCAGUGUCAGUCUGCUACAGCAGCACCACAUCAUCCAUCAUUGUGGGACAGAAGUGGGACGACACCAUCCUGGUGUUCAGAGUGGAAUAGUGUGUACAUUGGCUGUUGAGUCAGGACAACAAUGAUGAGGAUGUGGUGGACAAGAAUGGCCUGAGAACGCAGAAGCAACUGCUCAGCACAGAAGAUGACUGUCUGACGAAAGACUCUGCCGUAUCACAGUCCAGUGAUGUGGGGGGAUGAUGCGGUUGUUCCAUGUCUUAAGAUCGCAUCAUGAAAGACAUUUUAGCUGACACUUGGAAGGGAGAGAACUGAAGAUCUGCAACAGCAGUGAGCAUGAGCAUUGUUAUCGAGUUGACGUGGCAACAGCACCAGUCGGACACCCCAGGAGCCUCAGUCCAGGACAACCCUUCCCCUCCCAUGACCCAUAGCUCCACCCCUUUGACCUCCUGCCUCAAAGCUUUGUUGAACAAUACCAUUCUGCUGGAAUGUCUGAGCAUGUUGAGUUUUCACACCUGCCAUCUCCAUGUCGAUCCUUAAGCACUCGAGCCUGAGUAGUUUGUUAAGCUCCAGUGCCAAAAAAUAAAAAGUUGGAUAACUUGUUACAUGCUUUGUGGGACUAACAGAGCAACAGCGAAUAAUGGGAGAAUAUCAAGAAACAGUUGAAGAGUUAAAAAUCAAAGCAUAAGCUAUCCACGGGGGCUACUUCUGAUUUUAAUAGUAGUAGCAUAAUGGACCAUCCUGAUUUGUCCUCUAAUGCGUCCAAAAUGUUCAAAACAAACGUGCUUUUUACACAGUUGCUGACAAAAAAACUUUGUUAUGAACACUCAUAGCAUGAUGAAUACAUCGGGUGUGGUUCAGGCAAAAAAUCUGCCAAUCAUGUUAACAAGGUGCUUAAGGUGCACCCAUCAGGGUUUGUUAGGAGCACUUCACACUCCAAGACAAAACAGUCUCGCAUUGAAUAGACACUUGAUAAAGCGUUGAAAAAUGACAGCAGUUUUGCUGUGUGGUCAAGUAUGCCCUUUUACUCUCAACCCGACAUUAGGUAGAACUCAAACUCGGCCCUCAGCAAUAUCAGCGAGGCUAGCAGUUUUGUUGUGUGGUCCAGUAGGCCCUUUGACUCAACCCGACAUUAGGUAGAACUCAAACUUGAUCCUCAGCAAUAUCAGCGAGGCCAGCGUGUCAUCUCGCCUUCUUCAGCCUCAGAAGAGCACCAUCGAUAUUGAUUUGGCGCGGCAACAGCACCAGUCCAGCCCGCAUGAGCCUCAGUCAAGGACGAACCUUCCCCUCCACCUGACCCUAGCAGCCUCAGUCCACGACGACCCUCCACUCGACCUGACCCUAGCGCCUCCACCUUGACCUACGGCCUCAAAAGAUAACAUUAUUAUCCAAGAAGAAGAACAUUGUUGAAGUAAAUGUUGAAAACAGUCCAAACCCCUUCUCGCACAAAUACUAUAAGUCGCUCAAGACAUUCAGCACGCCACCUAUGAACAUCUCGCACAAAAACUACAAUUCGCUCAAGAAAUUCAGCACGCCACCUAUGAACAUCUCGCACAAAUACUACAAGUCGCUCAAGAAAUUCAGCAUGCCACCUAUGAACAUCUCCCACAAAUACUACAAGUCGUUCGAGAAAUUCAUCACGCCACCUAUGAACAUCUCCCACAAAUACUAUAAGUCGCUCAAGAAAUUCAGCAUGCCACCUAUGAACAUCUCCCACAAAUACUAUAAGUCGCUCAAGAAAUUCAGCACGCCACCUAUGAACAUCUCGCACAAAUACUACAAGUUGCUCAAGAAAUUCAGCACGCCACCUUUGAAAAUCUCCCACAAAUACUACAAGUCGCUCAAGAAAUUCAGCAUGCCACCUAUGACCAUCUAGCACAAAUACUACAUGUCGGUCAAGAAAUUCUGCAUGCCACCUUUGAACAUCUCGCACAAAUACUACAAGUCGCUCAAGAAAUUCAGAACGCCACCUAUGAAAAUCUCCCACAAAUACUACAAGUCGCUCAAGAAAUUCAGCACGCCACCUAUGAACAUCUCCCAAUACUACAAGUCGCUCAAGAAAUUCAGCAUGCCACCUAUGACCAUCUCGCACAAAUACUACAUGUCGGUCAAGAAAUUCUGCACGCCACCUAUGAACAUCUCGCACAAAAUACUACAAGUCGCUCAAGAAAUUCAGCACGCCACCUAUGAAAAUCUCCCACAAAUACCACAAGUCGUUCAAGAAAUUCAGCACGCCACGUAUGAACAUCUCCCACAAAUACUACAAGUCGUUCAAGAAAUUCAGCACGCCACCUAUGAACAUCUCACAAAUACUACAAGUCACUCAAGAAAUUCAGCACGCCAUCUAUGAACAUCUCCCACAAAUAAUACAAGUUGUUCAAGAAAUUCAGCCCGCCACGUAUGAUCAUCCCCUUGAAAUACUACAAGUCUUCAACAAAUUCAGCACGUCACCUAUGAACAUCUCACAAAUACUACAAGUCGCUCAAGAAAAUCAGCACUCCAGGUAUUAACAUCUUGCACAAAUACUACAAGUCGCUCAAGCAAUUCAGCGUGUCACCUAUGAACAUCUUGCAUGGUGGCUUGGUGAGUCUGACUUCUGUCUUGACAAGUCACUCAAGAUAAAAUAACCGAAUCUAACAGACAGAGCAGGUGCUGAGUGACUCGUCUGUUAACUUGACUGACCUCGAUACGUUGCUCUCGAAUAAUGAGAACCUGACGCACGAGGAACAGUGCUGUCCAACAUUCCCAGUUUUUGGUUGGCGACUUCACUGUCUGGACUCACACAAUCACUGCCUAUAGCCCUGCUGCAGCAGAAGCAGCAACAAAAACAGGUUUUCAGUAUACAGAUAUGCAACUGGAGUGAUGAUAUGCCCUGAAGAUAUUUAUUAAUUAAACCCCCUGUUAAUUGGGGUGUAUAGGAAUCCCUUUGGACGGACGUCUAUCUGUCUGUCUUUCCAUCUGUCUGUGGGCGAUCACUUAACAAUUCAACGUUCAGCUUUCAAACUUUCAGUUCUUACAGGACCCCAUACAAUCACAGUUUGGUACUCAGCUGAAUUACAUGCUCUCUGGUGAGCUGGAGCUGGACGCCCAAGGACAAUUCCUGAGUAUAGGCGUCGAGCUCCUGGGCCAGGAAUUCGGGGCAAAGCUCAACGAGUCCUACCCCUAGGGUACAGCCACUCUAACCUUGGGGCUCCACACUUUCCUGCUCAGGGGCAGAGAUUAUCUCAUCUACAAGGGUCCUUAUCCUCACAAGUUCAGGCCCAGGAAACCAUGCUUCUCAACUGCACCCAGCCACUUCAUCUCAACAGUAAUAGUUUGUUUCACCACUUUUAGAAUGGGGCUUGGACUCUUUGUAUUUCGAACAAGAAAUAUCUUUCAAAAAGAUAUACGGCGUUGAUUGUGUUUGUGGUUGAUGAAAGAUAAAGAGUUAUAUUAAUGAGACAGCAAAUUCCUUUUUCUACGCAGUUCUAUAGCAGCAUCACAUGCAAAUCAAUAACCUUGCGCCAGAUUUUGUGGCUUACUUCGCAUUAUUAGAUAUUGUUGACCAUAUAUCUAUAGUUUAAACCUAUUUAUUUAAGCUUGAUUGCAUAGAAAGCCUUAGGCUUAUAUAAACGCUCUCGAUUCUAUUGAUAAAGAACAAAAAUAUACAAGAAGAAUAUAAAUUAAAUGAUUAUAUACGAGUAUAUGGCCAAACCGUACAUAUUUGAAAUAUUAAUACACGGGUUCUUCGAACAGACAGGUAUUGUUGUAGUGGUUUUUCGGACACAGUUAUUUGAUUCGAUUGUUAAUAGUAUCGUGAAUUAUUGGGCUCAUGCUUAGUAAAUUGGUUGCUAUGGUGGAAUAAUUCUUAUUAAAUUAAUCAAAGCUAGUACAUAUCAUGGAAUUAUUGAAAAACAAUCCUUUAUUGACAUACCAUAAUUAUAUCGCUGAAUAUCUGCAAUGAAGAUAUUUCCGGUCAUGUUUACCGGGUUAACGCGAUAGAGUUUAUAUAACGAGUCUUGUACUGACCGCGAACUGAACUUUAUACCUUGUGAGAUGGAAUGCAAUGCGUUAAAGUGAGGUCACGUUUUAUACUGCCGGAACGACGGUUUGUUUAAAGCUUUAUACUUUUGCAUAUUAUUUUUGAUGUUUCGAAAACAAUUUAACAUAUUUUGGUCAAAGCAAAUAUCAGGAUAUGAAACAACAAUAUUUAUAUGAUCUAAAAUAUACGUGAUCACAGAAUGCAAUACGGUAGUAAUAACUAAAUAUGAGAACGCAGCCUUUAAAAACAAAUGCUAUGGCGCUGACAAUCAUCUGGAAAUAAAAGGUGCAUGCACAAACCGUAUUGAUGUCAAGAGUUGAGUGUAAAACUGUUCUAUCUAUCAAGCCUUUUCAUGAGAGAUACAGUUGUUUCAUGCUGAACACGCAGUAAAACAGUGUUAAAAAGACGCGGACAUGUUUUCAAUGUUUUGGUUGUAUGUUAAAAUCAGCCAAUAGAAUAAAUGAAGUGUAUUCAUUUGUGUCUAGCCGCGGUCAGGUCAGGUAAGUUCAAAAGUGGCUUUAAACAGCUACGCCAAAAAAACUGUGUUGUUAUUAUCCCCUGCCACAGGCGAAGGGAUAUUGUUUUGGCGGUGUCAGUCCGUCCGUCUAUCUGUCCGGCCGGCACUUUUAUGUCCGGAGCCAUAUCUUGGAAGUGCUUUGGUGGAUUUCAUUGAAACUUGGUAUGAGUAUAUAUAUGGAUAAGAUGAUGAUGCACACCAAAUGGCAUUGUACAACAUCUGUUAAUAAUGGAGUUAUGGCCCUUUGUAUCUUGAAAAAAAAAGUAAGCUUAGAGCUUUAUCUCCAUUAACACAUGAGCCAGAGCCAUAAAACUUGCCAUGUUGUUCUCAAUCAUCUGGGUUGCUUCACAUUCAACACCCAUAAUCUUAGGUGUUAAGCUCAAGGUCAUACAUUGAGGUCAAAGGUCACAAAUUUGAUGAAUUAUUCAUUAUUUAGUCAUUCCUUUACUAUGCAUUAAACGAAUUCUGUAAUAACUUUCCAUAGUAAAUUGAUUCAUGAAAAAUAUGCUAUCUGCAUUUAAUUGUCUGCAAACCCAUCACAGGUACAAAUGAGUUAAAAACAAUAAUUGACAAAAGGCACAACAAUUCAUUUAUACCUUUUCUUUUUGUUCUACACCCAUCACUAAACAAAAUUUAUUUGAUGGGGGAUAUCAAUUCAACAAAUUUGCUUGUUUUAAGUAAAGUUGAGAAAUAGGUGUUGUGGUUGUUUUUGCUAACAAAUACUUUAAUAUUGAGGAUAAAAGUUUGUUCAAUAUUACAUUUACUAUGGUUUAACUUGAACUGAAAAUGGCAUAUAUUUUUCUUUGUUUUGGAAACCUUCACUUGUUAAUUUCAAUCUGUAUUUUUGGAAAAAUGGAUAUUUUGUUACAUUUGGAAUGGGACCGAACAACAGCCCAAAAUAUUAAAAUAAAAAAAUAAAACUGAAGUAAGUUCCCUUAUCAUUGGAAAAGGGAUAACUGUGGCACAGUUGUGAGCACCUAACACAAUGUCCUGUCUUAAAAUGCCAAGGUAGUCUCUUCUGAAUGAAAAUCCUGUCUUGGUCGAAAAAAAUUCCCUGAUUAGCCUGUGCCUGUGCACAUGCAUUAAGCCAAAUUUUCCCUAAAUGCGGCUUUUAUAAGCCUGAGACUUUUAAUGCAAUCAAGCUUUAACAAAUUGGUUAAACCAAAAUGCACACAAAACUGGGUUUCCUGCUCUUCAAUAAAUUGACACGAAAAACUGAUUCAUUUAAGGGUUAAAAGUGAAACUAGUGCAUCUUCGAUACAAAUGUUAAUAAUAUAGACAGCUUCACGCUCAACCCUAAAAUUAUGGGUUAUAUUGAACAUCCAGAGCUUUAUUUCAAAAACGUCAAUAGCAUGCAAAUUAUCUGUAGGUACCAACCAAACUGACUUUUUAACUCUUUACCAAAAUCACGUUCUAUAUCAAAUGUAAUGAUCGUAAUGAAAUUGCCAUUUCUAUAUAAAAGGUGUCAAUGUUGUUUGUGCCUUUGUGUUAGAUGGGUGUUAUAUUUGCGGAGAUCUGGAUAGCAAUUUUAAUCACCAAUACUGUGAUUGUAAUUGUAAUUAUAUGCAAUUGAUAGUAGUAGUAUAAGAAGCGUUGUUUUGACUACAUCAGGAAUGUGCCUUAUGGCUAUAGCCCCCAUUAGAAUUGUUAGUGAUAUGUGGUACAUAUUUACACAUUUAAAGAUCUUUUUCAAGCUUACUUGAGCAGAAAAUGCUCUGGUAAGAAAUUGUGAUAACCUUAUGUCAAUCAAUGUGCUGUGUGCGUGUGGUCAACUUUUGGCUCGUUAACACUCUAGAUGCCUUAUUUGUUGAUCCGAUCCUCAUGAAACUUGGCCAAAAGCUAGGAAACCAUGUCACCAGAUCAAAUCUUUCAAAACCCCAUGCCACUAUAGGGGCAACAUGUAUGACUCAAUAUCGAUAAAAACUUAGUAAGCAUGCUUAUCUUGACAAUGUCUAAGCCAAUUUGGAAUUAAGGUCACCAGUUAGAAAAGCCUUCUUACCACUCCAGAGGACACAUUUAUGACUCAAUUUGAUGAAACUUGGUCAAACUGCUUAUCUUUCAAUUUUCAAGUCUGAGUUUGAAUCUAUGUCACAUGUACCCAAAAACUAGGUCACCAGAUACAAUCUUUCUUCUCACUCAAAAUCGAUCAAACUUGGUCAGAAUGUUGAUCUUGAAUGCUGCAUAUUGAAAUCACAUCAUGUGCGUUCAAAAACUGGGUAACUAGGUAAAAUGUUCUAAAUAUCAUGUUACCACUCUACAGGUUGCAUUGACGACUCAAUCUUGAUAAAACUUCAUCUUUUGUAUUUUGUCUAGACCAAUUUUGAAAUUCGGUCACAUCUUUCCAUAAACUAGGUCUUUAAAUUAAAUCUCAGACCACUCUAGAAGCCACAUUUAUGACUCAGUCAUGUUUAAACUGGGGCAUAAUGUUUAUCUUGACAAUAUCAUCUAAUAAUCAAUGCCAUUUUCGAAACUCGCUUAAUUGAGGUCAAAAACUAUGUCAAAAGGGCAAGUCUUCAACCAAAGUUUUAAGUCGAACUAAGGUAAGUCUUCAGGGCCAUCCUGACCCUUUUGUUACAAUAAGCAGGAUUCAGAUAUUUGUCAAAGAACGAUAUUUUGCAUUGUUUUAAAUUAAAGAACUUAUAGAUUGCAUUUAAAGAAAAUCGUUACAUUUAAGGAAUAUUGUGUUUUUUUGUUCAGUGUACUUAAAAUACUUACAUGUGUAUCGCAUUUAAAUUCAGACUAAAAUGCAUGUUAUGUUUUCAUUCUAUGUUCAAAGAUAUUUGUCAGUUGGAGGGAGAAAGAAAGAGAUGUUUAAAUAGCAGAACAUGCACACAUUGCUGCUUCAGCCUCAAUAUGAAAUGCAGCGGCAGCGGCAGAAGCAACAACGCUCACAAUUCAACAAUAAACAGUUCCAUUGACGAGCGCUUUUAAAUGACAACAUGUCAAUGAACCAGGCACCUUUUUCUGAAAACCUCGCCGAGCUAAUGAACAGUGCAACUGCGCCAUAUGUGACCCUUCAGAGAAUGGAAUUCCUAGCCAAAUAUCUAAUCGGUGCCAAUCUGGGCUCCAGCAGCAGCCUCAGCCAUGGGGGACAGGUUUAUGAAGCAAUCUGGGCUCCAGGAGCAGCCUCAGCAGUGGGGGACAGGUUUAUGAAGCAAUCUGGGCUCCAGGAGCAGCCUCAGCCAUGGGGGACAGGUUUAUGAAGCAAUCUGGGCUCCAGCAGCAGCCUCAGCCAUGGGGGACAGGUUUAUGAAGCAAGCUGGGCUCCAGCAGCAGCCUCAGCCGUGGGGGACAGGUUUAUGAAGCAAUCUGGGCUCCAGCAGCAGCCUCAGCCAUGGGGGACAAGUUUAUGAAGCAGGGCUCUAGCAGCAGCCUCAGCCGUGGGGGACACCCUGAACUUCUCAAUCUCACAGCAACAGUAGAUCAACAUGACCUCCAGCAGCAGCCUCAGCCGUGGGGGACAGGUUAAUGAAGCAGGGCUCUAGCAGCAGCCUCAGCCAUGGGGGACAGGUUUAUGAAGCAGGGCUCUAGCAGCAGCCUCAGCCAUGGGGGACAGGUUUAUGAAGCAGGGCUCUAGCAGCAGCCUCAGCCGUGGGGGACAGGUUUAUGAAGCACCCUGAACUUCUCAAUCUCACAGCAACAGUAGAUCAACAUGACCUCUAGCAGCAGCCUCAGCCGUGGGGGACAGGUUUAUGAAGCAGGGCUCCAGCAGCAGCCUCUUCCAUGGGGGACAGGUUUAUGAAGCACCCUGAUCUUCUCAAUCUCACAGCAACAGUAGAUCAACAUGACCUCCAGCAGCAGCCUCAGCCAUGGGGGAUAGGUUUAUGAAGCAAUCUGAACUUCUCAAUCUCACAUCAACAGUAGAUCAACAUGACCUCUAGCAGCAGCCUCAGCCGUGGGGGACAGGUUUAUGAAGCAGGGCUCCAGCAGCAGCCUCAGCCGUGGGGGACAGGUUUAUGAAGCAGGGCUCCAGCAGCAACCUCAGCCAUGGGGGACAGGUUUAUGAAGCACCCUGAUCUCACAGCAACAGUAGAUCAACAUGACCUGAAAGCGGUUUGUGUUCAGUGUCUAACAGUAGUCUAAUGACCAAGCCACGUCAGCAAAGCAGCAAUAACAGCAGUCAAGUCGAGGAUCACCCAAAACCACUUGGUGCCUAGGGAUGAUUUUUCUGCUACCAACUUGACCUGAUUAUUGUACUCACGUGGGAGUCAGGUUUAAGGUCACAUAAGGUUUAAAGGCUUAAAUCAGCAUAUAUGGUCAUGGUAGUUAGAAAAUUUAAGAUAAUAAAGGGACUUGUUAACCAACUUGAUGACCAAGUUAUUUAAUAUUGUUCCAAAUGUAUCUUUUAAGGAAAUGACUGCAAUACAGGGAAUCAUAAGAAAAUCUACAUACUUUCCCCUUUAAAUGUGUAAAAUUAACAAUAAACAAAAUGACUACACAACGGGCAUUUACAAGAACAUCGUUGAACAUUUUCCUUUAAAUAUUGCUCAAUAAUUCUCAGUGAACAAAAUGUAUGCAGAAAGAAAAACUUUGUCUCUAUAAAGAUUGCUCAAUAUGUUUUUACUGCAAACGGAUUUAUUACAGAACAGGAAUGUAUUUUUUAACAUUAUCGUUGAAAUUUCUCAACCAUUUGCAGUUAACAACAUGACUGCACAAUAUGGCAUCAAUGGCAAAGCAGAAGUGAUCAGAGAGGGUUAUAACGUGCAAGUCAAGAAGGCGACGUCCAUGACGAGACUGAAAACCCUGAUUACAAAAUGCAGAGUCUGCUCCCGAAGCAUUUGCAGACACAGAACAUGAACCCGCUGCAGUCAUCGUCUUCAGAUUAUAUCAUCUCUAUGGUGCAGGACCCUCAGUCUGUGAACACAGGGAACCUUCGACGCCAAUGACGAAAUCAAACCAUCCAAUCAGAAACACAUCCUGUUGCAGCAGUUAUUACCAUAUUGACCCCAGUCAAACAAAAGAAGCUCAGAGAUAAAUACUGUUUAUGGAGUUCUAGUCUCUCAUUACCUUGUGGUAUGUUGAGCACGUACUCUGACAGGUUCUAUCUUAUAAUUGUUUGACUGGUGGAAAAUAAAUGACCUUGUUCAAGUCGAAAUGUCAGAAUAACAAUUCAUAAUUCAAAUGCCGAAAAGUCAUAUCAACAGCCACAUUUGUUAUGUGACCAGCAAAGUUGUAUUCAAAGAGACACAAUAGUUUACUUGAUAUUUUCUUGUGACCAACCAAGUUGUAUUUAAUGAAAAACAAUAGUUUAUGUUUUAUGGGAAUUAUGAUGCUGUUAGUCAUGUUAUGUUGGACGUUUUAGUUAAAUAUAGUAUGUUACAAAAUGUAUUAUUUGAAGCACACAUAUUGCAGGUAUAUCCAAUGUCUGUGUCUGUAUUAUGAACCUUUCACUUCAGAUUUUGAUCCGGAUAUGGUAAAUUUAAGGGAAAUACAAUCAUAACAAAGUUAUUUUAAGAUUAUCAAAGCUGUUUAAAUGUUUAUGGUAACUUGGACACAAUUGAAAAUAUAUUGGCGUAUUGUCCAUGUUUCAGUUUUCUGUUUUACCAGUUAUAUAGAUGUGCUCAUUAAAAUAAUGCUUCAAAGAGGUUGAGAGUUAUGAAAGUUCAGCUUUUCUGUAUAUCAAUCUUUCUGAACACAAUACUUGUCAAUUUGCUCAUUCGGGUCGGUAUUUGAUCCAAAAUCUUGUUAAGUAGCAUACUAUUUCAAGGGAAUAUAAAUUAAUUCUGGGAAAAAGUGUUUAAUCUACUUAAAUUUAUUGAUUUUUUGUUACCACCAGUACUUUGUUGAUUUCAAUUGCUAUGGUUUGCUAAAUAAUUAAAGCAUGACUGUUGUUUUAUUUGGAAAGCUUUUAAUAAAACUCAGAAUUAAAAACAAUAUUUAAAAAAAAGAUGAGUUUUAUGAAAAAUGGCACAUUUAAUGUUUGUUAAUUUGUGUUGUAAGAUCAUACACUUACAUGCUCAUAAGUGUUAACAUUCGAUUUUGGAUGUUAAAGUUUAUAAUGCUUUAUAUAUGCAUAUGUAGAUUUACACAACCAGAUUGUACCUUCUUAAAUCAGUGAGUAAUUUAACCCAGAUUUCUUGAUAACUGUUUAUAGGUAUAUUUUGCCAUUUAUACAUAGAACAACUGCAAAGCGAUUGUAUUUUCGAUGUAAAUCAUACAUUUAGUGUUGCCAUUGUUUAAACUCACUGUUUACAUUUAUUUGUACACACCAUUGUUAUAAAACAACAUUGCUUGUGUAAAUGCACAUAUAUGUAUAAAAACUGUUUAAUAAUGCAGCAUUAAAUAUUCUGAAGAGAAAAGGAUAUUUACGGCAAUAGAAACACCUUGUUAUAUGCUAUGCUUUUAAUCGAAUGAAUUUGAGCAACUAUUAAAAUGAAUUUAUUUCUUCUUUAAUUUUAACUAAAUACAACGAUAGUACCUUGAAAUUAGAAAUGAGUCAAUUACAAAAUAAGGGAGAGUGAUGUCAUAUGUUAACAAUUGUCAGGCAUAGCAAUUGCCUCUAUUGGUAAUAUAACAGAGCAAUAUUAUUUGCUUAAACAAUACAAAUUAAGAUGUCUUUUUUUGUUAGAUAAUAAUUGUGUUUACAACUUGAUAUAACGAGUAAAUACAUACAGAAUUUCAAAUUAUUUCGCAAUAUAUACUCGGCAAUAAGUGAAAGUCUAAAAGGAUUUUGUGGAAUAAACAAUUUGCAAAUUAUUUGCUUGUUUCAUGAAGUAAUAGUUAAGGUAAAAUGUGGUACUUAUUGUUACACAAACACAAUGUGUAAUAACAAAAUGCAUCAGUAAUGACAUUUAUUAAAAUUCCUUAAAUUUGCAUGACUACUCAGUGCUUUGAGUUUUGUUAUUGUGACGAUUAUAAGUGAAUAUUCUGCAAAAAAUACCUCUAUACGAAAUGUGUAUAUUUCAAUAAUAAUGGUAUACUUGUAUGCAAAGUACUUGAAUAGUUUUGAUGUAUUGCUGAUAAAGAAUUGUGUAAUUGUACUAGUCCUAUUCCAGUUUGUGUAACGUUGACCGUUCAACAUAAGCUGUCAGUGGAGUGAAUUCACUGGGGCCAGUUUCUGUAAAUCUUCCGAUUUAAAACUGCAGCAUACACGUAUGUCUUAAAUCCAGAUUUACAUAACAGUGUGGUUGUUUAUCUUGAAUUUGUAUUGAAUGCAUAAAACAUGUUUGUUCUGUUGUUGAACAACUGAAGAUAGCUUUAAAUGUGUACAUUGUGUUUCAUUUUUAGAUAUAUCAAAUUGAUACAUAGAAAACAAAAUACAAAAUGUGCAAUAAUUGGUGUGCAUGUUUAGCCCAAAAAAUGUUAUCAUACAAGCAUAUAAGUAUUGGACUAUAUGAUUCUGUAAGAUGAAAUGUUUAAAUCACGUCAUGAUGUGUUCAUCUACUUUAAAUAAACAUUUUUCAUAAGUAGAUAUUGGUUGUAUAAACUCUAUUGAAACUGCCCCCAAUUCAUUUUAAUUGCUUUUGUAAAUAUAUUCAAUAUGUAACAUUAUUGUUAAUGGUAUGUUUAUAGUUAAAGUGUAAGUGUUUCUCUAAACUGUAACCGGGUGUCUGUUUAAUUUAUUGAGAUGUGUUUAUAUUGUCCGGCUUAUUAAAUUAAAUAUUGUGCAAAUUGUC